UACGGAGGGUGCAAGCGUUAUCCGGAUUCACUGGGUUUAAAGGGUGCGUAGGUGGGCAGGUAAGUCAGUGGUGAAAUCUCUGGGCUUAACCCGGAACUGCCGUUGAUACUAUCUGUCUUGAAUGUAGUGGAGGUGAGCGGAAUAUGUCAUGUAGCGGUGAAAUGCUUAGAUAUGACAUAGAACAUCGAUUGCGAAGGCAGCUCGCUACACUAUGAUUGACACUGAGGCACGGAAAGCGUGGGGGAUCAAACAGG
rnacentral:rRNA from 1 species